ACGUAGGGGGCAAGCGUUGUCCGGAAUGACUGGGCGUAAAGGGCGUGUAGGCGGCCGAUUAAGUAUGGAGUGAAAGUCCAUUUUUCAAGGAUGGAAUUGCUUUGUAGACUGGUUGGCUUGAGUGCGGAAGAGGUAAGUGGAAUUCCCAGUGUAGCGGUGAAAUGCGUAGAGAUUGGGAGGAACACCAGUGGCGAAGGCGACUUACUGGGCCGUAACUGACGCUGAGGCGCGAAAGCGUGGGGAGCGAACAG
rnacentral:rRNA from 1 species